UAGAUACCCUGGUAGUCCACGCCGUAAACGAUGAUAACUAGCUGUCCGGGUGCUUGGCAUUUGGGUGGCGCAGCUAACGCAUUAAGUUAUCCGCCUGGGGAGUACGGUCGCAAGAUUAAAACUCAAAGGAAUUGACGGGGGCCUGCACAAGCGGUGGAGCAUGUGGUUUAAUUCGAAGCAACGCGCAGAACCUUACCAGCGUUUGACAUGGUAGGACGACUGGCAGAGAUGCCUUUCUUCCUUCGGGGAC
rnacentral:rRNA from 1 species